GCCUAGGAUCUGAUGAGGUGUGCCGCCCGCAGCUCACUGAUGCCCCCGUAUCGAGCAGUCCCAUCAGCGUCUUCGGACCUAGACUCACGUGCGCAAACGGCCUCUCGUCCCGGCUUACUGCAGAACGGAUUGCUGCACAUAUGCCACGUCGUUUCCUCUGGCGUAUCCGGAACCGGUCCCGAGCCCUCUGUGCUCUAGCCGACCUCGUUAGGCUUGUCUCCGCCCGCUGGUCCCCCAAUAUUCUUCUCCUGGCCUGGUUAUACCGCUGCCACCUUUCCUGUAACGGCUUACGCUCGGACCCUCUCGCCUCAGGUAUGUCCCCUGCAUGUAAUUCUACCGUAUAGUUGGAGGGCAGAACUAUUGGCUGCUCGUGGAACGCGACCCCUCCAAUUGCGUCGUGCUCCUUCUCCCGUUUCCCGGCCGACAUUUCGGACAUUUAGGGAGGAUUACCCCGGCAGACCCACACUUGUAGCAGAAUAUGUUCCGCACUUCUGACUCACAUUCAAAAUAUGUGUGUCCUGGCUGCGCACAAUUCCAACACUUCAAUUGUGCCCGGUCACCUCCCGAAUCCUUCGUCCUAUAGACGGCCUCUAAUGC